GAGUUUUGGAGGUGUCCUGAUGAAGAAGCAGGAACAACGCUGCUGUGAAGAGCUGCGUGUGAGAAAACCACUCAGAAGGGGUUGCUGCUUCUCUUCAGGAGGAUCUUUUUCAAGAGAGAAGGAGCUCCAGGAAGCUCAGUGUGGCCAUAGCAGUAGUCUUUUUGCUCAUAAUUUUUCCCUGAAUCUGGGACACCUGUGGAUACAACACAGUUGAAGAGGCCAGCACUUCAAGGAGGGGAAGUUUGAAGCUCUUUUUUUACUCAGUCUUUAUAAAGAUUGAGGUGUGGAACUGACAGCCGUAGAGAAGAUGUUUUGAUGUGGCCAAGGAAGAAAAAUGCUGUUUCAGAAGCAAACCAAAGGUUUGCUCUGAAGUUCGAAGAAUAACGUCCAGUUCUUGUGAUAAAACAUCAUUUCCAAAGUUACUCUGCUGUCACUGACUUUGCACAACAGCCAUAUCUCAAGCCAUAUCUCUCUUUUUGCAGAGAGAAACUGACAGUUUGGUUCAAUUUCAGUUUUCUAGAGCAGCUCAAGUGCAAGAAUUGUAUUCAUAUGAAAGUAGGAAAUGGCAGUGACAUCCUCUACCGUGAUCUGGAAUUUGUCAGUAAAUGCACUAUCAAGACAGAAUUCAAGACUACUGAAAGAGACUGAAAUAGAAGCUGUAGCCAUGAAGUGAAAUAAUAAGGGAAAGAAUACAAAGAUCACUAAUCAGGAAAAUAUUAAUAAUCAAUAAAUGUCAAUAUUUUCUAUUUUGCUUUAACAUCCUGUGUUUAGACAUAGCACUUCUGGCCUGGCUAUUUGCAUAAAAUAAAAAACCCCACCCUUUUGUAAAAUAAUAAUUGAGCUGUUGAAUAAUAAAGUUAUCCCAACUUGGAUAUUUUCUUUAGGGUCAAAAAAAAAUUUCAAAUUGUUUAAGAGCUUCCAACUUCUGUACUUUAAUACCACAUCUCUUCCUGAUGGAUUGAGUUGUGAAACAAGACUAAAAAUAAUAUGAUGGCAUAAUGCAAAAUGUACACCCUAACCCAAAGUAAAAGUAGUGUUGAGCCAUGAAAAACGUUAACCUUGUUAAAGCUAGUCUUGAAUCUAGAGCUUGGUCCCUUCCAUAUCUUUAUUUUAGGAUAUACUUUUAAAAACACUUUUAAGAAAGGAUUAGGAAAAAUGUACUUCAGAGAAAACACUUCCAAAUAUCUCCUGUGGAUUAAUCAUAAAAUAGGACAGUUCCUGAUUAGGAAAGUAUUAUGAGACAUAACAGAUUGUGUAGUAAUGACAACAAUGGUUUACACAGAAUGGCUCUGUUUAGGAAGAACGUGUGCAUAAAAUAAUGUGUACAUAAAAAAAUAUAAAAAUUAUUGUGGAGUGAACAGCAUUUCCAAGUAUCUUAGAUAUAUGUGGAUGUAUUCCAAAUGAUCCCUGAAAGUCUGAGUCUAUCAUAUCUUUGCUGUACAGCUUGUCCUUUCAGAAAUUCUUUAGGAUUUUUCUGAGACAGGGAUUCAGCCAUGAAAAGAAAGACAAGAAUUUGAUUUUUCAUUUAUUUCUUUUUAUGUUAUUCUGUUUUAAAGUAUUUUCUUCGGUACGCUUCUAGAGGAAUAUGUGGAAAGCAUCUCUGGGUAGGUCCUCGGAUUUCUUUUGUAUAUUCCCCAUGAAACCCUAUAAGAAUGUCUAAAGGAAGAAGAGAAUUAUGGCAAGCCCCAUGCACACGCAGGAGGGAGGCAUAUCCUUGCAGAGACUGGCUUGAGGUGGAAUGAGCACACCUAGGGUAAAGACCAGCAUCUUUACACAAGCACAAAUGAUCUAUGAAAUUGCAUCACUGGGUCAUGGAGUGCAAUGAUCUGCACGGCAUGUGGCAUUUAUCCUUGGCUCUUAUUGCUUGGUUCUUUUUGGUUAUCUGCUCCUGACAAUAGUCAGAAAGCACACACUUGACUAGCUGGCCUUUGGUCUGCUCCUCUCUGCCUGUAUGUUCCAUAUGGAUGAUAAUGACAAAUAACUGCUGAGCAGAAGUAUCAACAUCAUGGCUUGAAAAACAGAAACCUGAAAAACGCCAAAGUUCAAAGGGAAUGAAUGCUGAGAAGUUGCUUUUUUACAAGCAGUCUUACUUCUGACUCCUAUCUGGUAAUUACAGAUCCAACAGAAGACAGCAAAAUUCUCCAAUUAUUUAACUCACGUACCUCAGUGAAGUUGCAUUAGUUGUACCCUCUGUCCAACAUAAAACUCUAGAAACUUUCAAAAUUAAGACCCUAUAUUGGUGACUCUUCUGCCUGUAUGCAAAUUUGAGGUUUUUUUUGGAUUUGUAGAUCUAUCUUAAAUAGCUUAAAUAUUACAAUUAAAAGCAGGGAUUGCAUAGCUCAGUCUCUAUUUUUCACCUCUCCCUGAAGAAGUUUUAUGUACUCUCUUUUCUUGUUGUUUAAUACACCUGGGCAUAUCUGGGAUAACUCAAAUCAAGGGGGUUUAAGAUAGAGAAAUUAGAAUUACUGAGUUAGCUCAAGGGGUCUGCCAUUUAAAAACUGAGAAAUUCAGUAAUGCUUAUUUUUCAGUUGCAAUUCUGCAGCUUGUGUCUGUCACUUGUUUUCUUCUUCAAGAUACUUGGAAAUAUUAGAGGUCAUGAAGAAAUCUUGCUGCAGUAUUACAUGAAUUUUUACCUUAAGAAUACUGGAAACUAAAAAUCCUCAGUAUAUGAUAAUCUGCUUCUGUAUUAUGUCAACAC